rnacentral:lncRNA from 1 species
UAAGACAAUUUAGAACCUCAAUAUCUAUCAAUUAUAUUAAUGAUCUUACUUAAGAUUUUACACACCUUUCAAAAACUAAGUUGGCAAAAAAUACAAAAAAUUUGAAGAAGAUUAAACUUACCAAAUAGAAGAUCAACCCUAAAUUCUACUUGGGCUAGCCUCCUAUUCCAAUCUGAAUGUUGAACUUCCAAUUUCAAUAUCUCCUUUUUAAAUCAUUGAAUUGCCUCUAAAAUCUACUUAAUCUGUAGAAAAUCAAAUCUAAUCUCUACACAUAAAAAGGGCUCACUUCAAUCCAAUUAAUAAAUUGCUAGAGAUCUUAAAAAUAGUCACUGACCUUCAAAUUCUAAUUUCUAAGACCUCAACCCACAAAACCCUUCACACACUUCAAACAAACAAUUUGAUU